GAUGCGCUAUUUCUUUCAAUGACAUCAAAUCGAAUGGCAAAGCCUACCAAUGAAAACAUGUUGACCACAUAACCUUCAAGUUUUGAGGGAAAACAGAGCUUUAAAUGCGGGAAAUCAGCGACUGCGUGCGUGAGGUGAGAAUUCAACAGUGAAGACAAAUCUCGCUGAAAUUGUCGCCGAAAGGGAGCCCCAGAGACUUUCAGGUAAGCCUAACUGAUCGGAACCAGUUCUUGUUUAUUCGUUUCUUGAAUAUUUUUGUCUUUAAGGGCAACCUUUCGAGUUUAGGCGUUUUUUUCCUCUUUGAGUAGUGUCUAUCAUUCGAUUCGAAUCAGCGUUCCGCCGUACGCUAAAGAGCCUUCGGUUCUAUCUUAUCUGGCCAGCGGAGAAAUCUUAUAUUCUUCACAUGAAGCACUUGUUUUAUUGAAUUGUAUUUUAUACAAAUCAAUGUUUUUUUUUUUAAGAUUAUGCUCGCUUGUUAUUGAGCUAGUACAUUGCUUGGCAUCUCUUUAUUUUUCUGGUAAUCAUUAAGAAUAAUUAAUCACAGAACAAUGCCAAUAUUCUCAGCCUAGAUUUCAAAUACCAAAUCAAUUGUUGUUAUAAUUAUUGUUGUUUUUUCCUGGGAUAAUGCUAUCCCAGAAAAAAAAAACACAACAAAUGCAACCAGAUAUAGAAUGAUGAUUUUCAAUGGUAAGAACUACCCUUUUACAUUUUCAGCAGAAAAUCCCUAAGAAAUGUUGCAUUUUUUAUUGUGUCUGUUUACUAUAAGUUUUAGUUGUCCAGUAUUUUAUGCUUUGGUUCAAAAAAAGGAUGACACUUAAUUCAAAGUCAGUCAACAUAAUCAAUAUAAGCAAUCAAUAUCAGGGGUUUUAUUAGAAGGCAGGUACUGGCAGUUAACCGCCGCCGUCAACUUAAAACGCUGAUCUCAGAUCUAAUAAAGUUUGCAAAUGAAGCAUGAUUCGUGAUAAAAUACCAUUUGACAUUAUGCUAUGGUCACUAUCAUCUAUUCUUGAUUUUGAUUGUUUUUCAUUAAGUUAAUUGUCUGUUACUUUUGAACAUAUUCAUUUUUUAUUGCUUGAGAGUCGUAGCGUUUUUUUUUUGCCACCAUCCUUGAUGUGAAGCAAGAAAGAUGUUUCUGCGAUUCGAGCCUGCCAAUUGAUUUUUUCCCUUUUAGCUGCAUUUAACAGUAUUUCCAAAGCCUGAAGGAUAACACAUAUAGAAAGUAUGAUGGGACACUGGAUGCUCAUAGGAAAUCAUGCAGACAGUACCAGACGGUCAUCAUAAAACAGCAGAAAGUCCUAAAUGCUGCGGAGACUAUUAACUGGCCAGAGGAGAAGGAGAGGUUUGCCGAUGUUCUGAAUGAUGUACAAAACAUUUCGACAGAGAAGAGCGAGGAAGAGGGAGAUGGGGUUGUCUUCUUCUUUAAAUCAUUGAAUUGGGAGAGAAAAAAGCUUAGGAUUUUGAAAGUGUUAGAAAGCCAUCACUGACAAUGUAACUUAGUCGCAGGGCUUUGCUCAAGAUGGCAAAGAGAGUGAGAGGAGUAAGACGAUCAGACAGACCCUGUCCAGAGAACACCAAGAAAUAGGCAGUAUUAAAGCGAACCUCCAAUGAGAUGCUUGACGGCAGUGCACCAAGAUCUCUACAUACCUCUACCCCGCAGCGUCCAACACAAUCCAAUAGUAUUUAGUCCAUAUUUGUCAGCAGGGAAUAGGGUUAUGUAAGUCUAUUUCUUUUUAUAUCAUCAAUACAAAAUAUUUCUUAAAAAUCAAAUACGAUUUACAAGGCUCUUGUUAAUUUUUGGCUAGAGCUUUUCAGCCUUUUUAAAUAAUUUUCAUGAUGUUUUUGUCUCUAUUCUACAUUUGUAUAUACAUAUAAAAACAUUGAUUAUUUCCUACUUUCAUAAAAUAUGCUUUUGAGUCAAGCUGACUGUUUGAUUUUUGUUCUACAUUAGUUUUCGUAGUUAGCAUUUUAUCACAUAAAAGAUGGCUUUUUAGAUGUAAGUUAUAAGAUUUGUAUAUCAAAUCAGAUUUCAUGCCAUUAUGCACAUGUAAGAGACGACAGAGGAUUUAAAUAAAAAUAGAAUGGAAGCUUAA